rnacentral:tRNA from 1 species
GCGGGUGUAGCUCAAUGGCAGAGCAGAAGCUUCCCAAGCUUACGACGAGGGUUCGAUUCCCUUCAUCCGCUCCA